GAUGAACGCUGGCGGCGUGCCUAAUACAUGCAAGUCGAGCGAACAGACGAGGAGCUUGCUCCUCUGACGUUAGCGGCGGACGGGUGAGUAACACGUGUAUAACCUACCUAUAAGACUGGGAUAACUUCGGGAAACCGGAGCUAAUACCGGAUAAUAUAUUGAACCGCAUGGUUCAAUAGUGAAAUACGGUUUUGCUGUCACUUAUAGAUGGAUCCGCGCCGCAUUAGCUAGUUGGUAAGGUAACGGCUUACCAAGGCAACGAUGCGUAGCCGACCUGAGAGGGUGAUAGGCCACACUGGAACUGAGACACGGACCAGACUACUACGGGAGGCAGCAGUAGGGAAUCGUACGCAAUGGGCGAAAGCCUGACGGAGCAACGCCGCGUGAGUGAUGAAGGUCUUCGGAUCGUAAAACUCUGUUAUUAGGGAAGAACAGAUGUGUAAGUAACUAUGCACGUCUUGACGGUACCGAAUCAGAAAGCCACGGCUAACUACGUG
rnacentral:rRNA from 1 species